AGUGAACGCUGGCGGUAGGCCUAACACAUGCAAGUCGAACGGCCGCACAGUAAGGGCUUGCUCUUACGGGUGGCGAGUGGCGGACGGGUGAGGAAUACAUCGCCAUCUACUUUUUCGUGGGGGAUAACGUGGGGAAACUGACGCUACUACCGCAUACGACCUACGGGUGAAAGCAGGAGAUCUUCGGACCUUGCCCGUCUGAAUUAGACGAUGUCGGAUUAGCUAGUUGGCUGGGUAAAGGCACACCAAGGCGACGAUCCGUAGCAGGCCUGAGAGGAUGAUCAGCCACACUGGAACUGAGACACGGUCCAGACUCCUACGGGAGGCAGCAGUAGGGAAUAUUCGGCAAUGGGCGCAAGCCUGACCGAGCCACGCCGCGUGAGUGAAGAAGGUCUUCGGGUUGUAAAGCCCUUUUGUUGGGAAAGAAAAUCAGCAUGUUAAUAUGCCGAUGUUCUGACGGUACCCAAAGAGUAAGCACCGGCUAACUUCGUG
rnacentral:rRNA from 1 species